CAGGACUCGCAAGACUCCCGUAAACCACUGUGAACUUACCUACAACCCGUUGCCUCGGCGGGUGCUCCGGGGCGCGUCUUCGGGCGCUCCGGGGCGCUCCAGCCCGCCGGCGGCCCCUAAACUCUGUCUCUGUAACGUUGGCAUCUCCGAGCAGACUAUAAACGAGUCAA
rnacentral:misc_RNA from 1 species